rnacentral:rRNA from 1 species
GUGAGGAAUAUUGGACAAUGGGCGCAAGCCUGAUCCAGCCAUGCCGCGUGCAGGAAGACGCAUCUAUGGUGUGUAAACUGCUUUUGUAUGGGAAGAAACACUCCCUCGUGAGGGAGCUUGACGGUACCGUAAGAAUAAGGAUCGGCUAACUCCGUGCCAGCAGCCGCGGUAAUACGGAGGAUCCAAGCGUUAUCCGGAAUCAUUGGGUUUAAAGGGUCCGUAGGCGGUUUAAUAAGUCAGUGGUGAAAGCCCAUCGCUCAACGAUGGAACGGCCAUUGAUACUGUUAGACUUGAAUUACAAGGAAGUAACUAGAAUAUGUAGUGUAGCGGUGAAAUGCUUAGAUAUUACAUGGAAUACCAAUUGCGAAGGCAGGUUACUACUUGUGGAUUGACGCUGAUGGACGAAAGCGUGGGGAGCGAACAGGAUUAGAAACCCCAGUAGUCC